rnacentral:rRNA from 1 species
UACGGGGGGGGCAAGCGUUGUUCGGAAUUACUGGGCGUAAAGGGCUCGUAGGCGGCCAACUAAGUCAGACGUGAAAUCCCUCGGCUUAACCAGGGAACUGCGUCUGAUACUGGAUGGCUUGAAUCCGGGAGAGGGAUGCGGAAUUCCAGGUGUAGCGGUGAAAUGCGUAGAUAUCUGGAGGAACACCGGUGGCGAAGGCGGCAUCCUGGACCGGCAUUGACGCUGAGGAGCGAAAGCCAGGGGAGCAAACGGG